rnacentral:rRNA from 1 species
GCUGGUUAUUCAGGAAAAGGAUCUAAGUCCAAUUUUAAUUCUUCACAUAAUACAAAAUAUGCCCAUAGGCUUAAAAUUCACUCAAAUAAGGUACAGCCUAUUUGAAACAGGAGACAACCUACAACAUAGGGUAAUGCUUAAACCAAUGUAGUCAAGUAGGCCCAAAAGCAGCCAUCUUUAAAAAAGCGUUAAAGCUUUACCACACUUAAUUGUUAAUCCCAAUCUAACCCCCAAAACCCCUCACCCAUACUGAAUGACUCUAUACUUUUAUAGAAGCCCUCAUGCUAGAACUAGUAACAAGAAUACCCCUUCUCCUACAAAUGUAAGUGUAAGCCAAAAUGGACCCUCCACCGGCACUCACCGCCAAUGAAUCGGCAGUAGCAACCAACAAGAAAACCCUACUUCACCMGGCGUUAACCUUACACAAGAACUUUUCUGGAAAGAUUAAAAAAAGAGGAAGGAACUCGGCAAACAUUAACCCCGCCUG